UCCUCCUUGAGUGAGACUUCUUUCGUUGUGUUCUCUGGCACCGAGUUCUCCUGGGUACUGAGAGAAAAGCGGAGAUGUGAUUCUUGAACUCUUCCAAAGCUAAUGUCCCCUAAUCUUUAAACUAGAAGUUAAACCUUGACUUGCAGUUCAAAGUCCCCGCUUAUUUUGAAUCUUCUCACACGUUUCAGACUGGGAGGAUCAAGCUCUAUUGCAUAAUAUAUUGUUAGCUUUUACUAUAUUCUCUUACAUGUAGUUACCAAUUUCUAGCAAAACUAACAAAAAUGAGGUAGAAAAAUAAUUUUGGAAGGCAGGAAAGAAAUUGGUAAUGGUAUGAACAGCCUUUCACCCCUAGAGGUGAAUUCAGGUUGGGUUGGUAGUAACUAAGUCAUUACUGCACAAGUGAUGUUUAGUGGCUCUUGUGAAAUGAUUUGUUGGCUCUGCCCAAUACCUCAUGAAUCAUUGUCUCAGUUUCUUGCACCAGCACAACUGGCAAUGAUAGUAGAGAGGUUAAGGACUGAAUUCUUUUCUCACUCCUAGUGGGGUUCACUGGAUGUCAGGGUUGGUGCUGUGUGACUAAACAGAUUUCAUUCUACAGGGACUUAUUGUACCUGCUGCUGUUUGUCCCACAAUACAGAUCAUUGAUUGGUCUAAAGGUCUUUUCUACACUACACAGUUGGGUUUUGUCGACAAAACAGUGGAGGUGUACACACUGCAAUGCGCCUCCCGCUGAUUUAACUCUCCUGCUCCACCAACGAAAUAAAACCAUCUCAAUGAGUGGCGUAGAGCUUUUUGUGACCAAGUGAGAGCGAUGCAGUGUCAGUGUAGACACUGUGCUUGCUUAUGACACCCUAAGUGGCCUCCAGGAGGUAUCCCACAAUGCCCAUCAUGAGCACUCUGGUCAGUAAUUUGAAUUCCACUGCCCUGCAGCCAGGUACACAGGCAUGUACCCCUCCACCUUUAAAGCCCCAGGAAGUUUUGAAAUUCUGCUUUCUGUUUGCUCGGUGUGGACAGUUCACAUAACAUCUUUCCAGCUGUCAAUGCCGACUCUCCACAGCAAACACGCUCCUGUCUGGAGUACACUGGAGUUGUUGAGUCUGUGAGGAGAGAAGGCUGUGCAGUCACAGCUCCGAUCCAGCCAUAGGAACUUUGACAUCUACGAGCAGAUUGCUCAUGGCAUAGAGGAGAAGGGGCACAAAAGGGACACGCAGCAGUGUUGUGCUAAGAUCAAGGAGCUGAGGCAGGCCUACCAGAAGGCAAGGGAGGCCAACAGUCACUUUGGUGUGGCACCAAAUGCAUGCCGCUUCUACAAGGAGCUGCACACCAUCCUUGGCAGCGACCCCACCUCCACCACCCAGAGCCCUGUGGAUACUUCAGGGGGACUGGAGGCAGCAGCCAGUGGAGUCAACCCCGAGGAUGAAGUGGUGGACGAGGAGGUAGAGUUGGAGGAGGAUGUGGGACAGGAAGCAGGGACAUCCGGUGGUGUGGCAUGCCAGGACCUCUUUUUGACUCCAGAGGGGUCUAGCCAGUCCCAGUGCUCUGGCAUGCCUGAAGUGGGAAAGGGGAGCUUUGAGGUGCCCUUUAGGACCAGCUCCUACACACCAGUGUAGCACCUCCAUCAGACAAGCAGGCGAACAAGGAGUAAGGAGGACAAGUUUUGAGAUGUGCUGCAAUCGUCAGAUCUUGCAGAUAGCGAGCACAGAGUGUAGAGAGAGACAAUAAAUGAGAAACUAGAAAUGGAUACCCAGGAAAGGAAACAGGGCAGGAACGGAUAAUAGAGGGUCAAAGGAGCAGAUGAUAAAGCUCACAGAGGAGCAAACAGAUGCUUAGGUCCCUGAUUGUGCUACAGUUGAAACAUAUCCAUGCUAGAGUCCCCCAGCAGCCCAUACAGAACUGCAUUCCAUGCCGUCCACAAACUCCCCCCUCCCACAUUCUUCUCAUGUCUCUGGCCCUUGCACUCCACCCCUAGGGACAUGUUCCAUAAUGACAGCUGGACUUACACACAGCUGUGAGAGCCUCAUUUCAGAGAGUGCUGCUCAGGGUCAUGUCUCCUGUAAGAAAUGUAAAUCUGUGUAUUGCUGUUUAAUAAAAACUUAGUCUUACAA